rnacentral:lncRNA from 1 species
UUGGGAGAGGGGAGGGGAGGGGGCAUCAAAGUUUUAAGACAACUGACAUUCAACUAGUUCUUUUCCAUCGAGAUGCUGGCCGAGAAGGUUACUUUAGUUAUAUCUUGGUACUCUUUUUCCUGACAUUGUUCUUCAUAAAAAAGGUUGGUGGAGAUGUUUCUCAAUGUGCAGUGCAGACGAGUGCGCAAGUCAGCAAGAUGCCUGUAAUUGUAUCAUGUUGUGAGAUGACAAUGGGAAGAAAAUGGAAAUCUGAAAUGAUUCAUUGGUAAACUUGGUGUUGAAGCUGUUGAUGAUGGUGAUUUCUGGUGUGCAGUGGUGCGGAAGUCAUUUUCUGAUUGAGAAAUGCACUGAUAUGAAGCUUCUGCAGACUUGCUGUUCAACAUCAGACUUGGUGUUGGUGUUGAUGCAAUGUUGAGCUUUUGUGAAAAACAUUUGUGUUAGAUGACUUUCUGGCAUUUUGUUGGUGUGUUCUGCUUCCUGUACACAUGUUGGGUCGGACGCCGCCGUUCCAGAUCUGAUCCAUUGGUGAAGCUGAGAGGUUGCUGUAAUUCAAGACUGAUAGAUUAUUCAACAAAUUAAAAAUGCAAAUCUAUUGUCCCUUUUCCCUAAGUAAACAAAAUGUCCUCAUUUUGCUAAUUGUGUGAAAACCAGGAAUGUUAUGAUGUCAUGAGGAAUUGUAAUGAGAUUUUAUAUCAUAAUUAAACUACAAACUGAAAUGA